rnacentral:rRNA from 1 species
GACAGAGGGUGCAAACGUUGCUCGGAAUUACUGGGCGUAAAGCGCGUGUAGGCGGGAAGAUAAGUCGGGUGUGAAAUCCCUGGGCUCAACCUAGGAACUGCAUCCGAAACUGCCUUUCUGGAGUGAUGGAGAGGAGAGCGGAAUUCCCGGUGUAGAGGUGAAAUUCGUAGAUAUCGGGAGGAACACCAGUGGCGAAGGCGGCUCUCUGGCCAUCAACUGACGCUGAGACGCGAAAGCGUGGGGAGCAAACAGG